AGUGAACGCUGGCGGUAGGCCUAACACAUGCAAGUCGAACGGCAGCACAGUAAGAGCUUGCUCUAACGGGAGGCGAGUGGCGGACGGGUGAGGAAUACAUCGGAAUCUACUUUUUCGUGGGGGAUAACGUAGGGAAACUUACGCUAAUACCGCAUACGACCUACGGGUGAAAGCAGGGGAUCUUCGGACCUUGCGCGAUUGAAUGAGCCGAUGUCGGAUUAGCUAGUUGGCGGGGUAAAGGCCCACCAAGGCGACGAUCCGUAGCUGGUCUGAGAGGAUGAUCAGCCACACUGGAACUGAGACACGGACCAGACUCCUACGGGAGGCAGCAGUGGAGAAUAUUGGACAAUGGGCGCAAGCCUGAUCCAGCCAUACCGCGUGGGUGAAGAAGGCCUUCGGGUUGUAAGGCCUGUUUGUUGGGAAAGAAAAGCAGCAGGUUAAUACCCCGCUGUUCUGACGGUACCCAAAGAAUAAGCACCGGCUAACUUCGUG
rnacentral:rRNA from 1 species